CUGCAGAGUUUAUGGAGAAGCCAUCCAGCAUUCUUCUGGCCCCCUUUCUCUUUCAACUCCCGUCUAUGGAGAAUCCGCAAGAAUACCGUGUACCUUCAAUUCCUAAAUCCCCAAAGACGAAUCUGAUGUAUUUGCUGGUUUUAGUUUGGUUUUUACAGUGCAGUUCGCAAAGGAUUUAGUAACGAAUUUCACAUCUGCAACCACUGCAGGUCUCUAAUUUUUUUUACUGAAACCGUGCCUACCAUUUCCUUGCAAUUUCUUGCAGGCUGUUCACUCUAGAUCGAUGUGCUGCUAGGUAUUUGGCCAACAUGUGGUUGUUGUGUUCGUACACUGAUGGACGAGGAGCAGAAAACGACUCAAAAGGUCACUCAUGGAUACAAUUAUUCUUAGGUGCGUAGUUUAAUUGCUCACUCAUGGACACAAUUAGUUGUUGUAGUUUGAAAUUUUGAUAAUAGAGUAUUCCUGCCAUGAUGUACACAAACGUUUCGGAUUCAACACACAUGCUGCCAGCUGUUCCAUCUUGAAGUUAUUUUCGUAUACUGAAUUCCUCUGGUUAAUUAAGGAGAUGAUUUAAGGACCAAUAUCUCAGGCUUGGUUAUCUUUUGGGUAUGUAUUUCCUUGCAUAGCCCUGAGUUCCAAAUGUUAAUGGGAUUAUAUCUGUAGGAUUUUAGUAUUUUUGGUUUAGUUGAUAUGUUUGAACAAUGGUGUCAGCUUUAAAUAAAUCUUAUGCUUAUGUGACAUAUAUCUCUGAACACCGUGCUAACGCAAUCCAUCUUUGAUGUUCCUGGUAGAUAAAUUAUAUUAGUCAUUACGCGUACUAUCUUGAAGCUCUGAUUUUGAUGGCAAGAUAUUAUAUUUUCUAAUGCUGAUGGAUUAAUGGAGUCAUCAAAUGAAGAACCUGUGAUCAUCUUAUUUGUCGGCCUGAUAGUAGUCAGUACUCAGGUUUGUUGGCCUUCAAAAGUACAUCUGUUAUAGUGCUGAACAUACUUCGGUAUUCAGCUACUCCGAUGCAGAACCCCAAAGGAGUUGUUGGUUUUCAUGCCGUUGUUGACAGAUCCUGGCUCUACAUGCCUGCAAGGUCAACACCGACGCCCAGAUCCACGGUGAAAAGAAGAAAAAAAACACCGAAUACCCAGGUCUCACCGAAACCAUUACCAUUGUUUUCUUAUCUGUCAUGAGUUCAACAUAAACAAGGUUGGUAUUCCACAUGCAGUCAGCUCUCCGAGUCUCUUAUGAUAAAGUAGGUUAAGUCACCCAUUUUAGAACACAAAAUGUCUGUCAUCUCACCUAAUUACGAGUUGUGUGUUAUGUGCCAUGCCAACAGCCCUGGAACCAGCCUGAAGAAUCUGAAAAGUUCCAGUUCUCUAACUGAAUCGGCUAGACCAAUACAUGUUUAGAUAGAGUCAUGUGGAUACAUAUAAGAGUGUGAGAUACUAACUUGUGAUUUUUCUGAAAGCUCCAUGUGUGGUAGGUAACUGUGUAUGUGCCUAUAAAAGCUGUGCCAAAGAGUUUCUCUUGGUGGCCAUAGAGAUACCUCGCUCAGUUUUCCUCUUGAUGUAUGUAUUCCAGUGAUACUUGCUUCCUCUAUUUCUUUUAGGUAGACACUUGGUAGCCAAUACUAACUCUGAUGACAGCAUCUCUCUAAUCUCUCAUCAUGUCUGUGUGUUUUGAUAUUUUCUACCAAUUCAAACUUAGUAUCUUUUAUUUUUUAACUUUCUCCUCUAAUUGUCGAUUGAUUCAUGAUAUACAUGAUCAAAAGUUUUACCCCUGAACCUGCGAGUGGGCUAUGUGAUAAUAUUUUGUAUCAACUGUCUUUUUCAGCAAAGGACUUUUUAGUAGGUUAUCUCGACAGUGUGAAUGUUGUUCUGAAUUCUGAACUUGUACAGUAUGGUUUGUCGCUGCCAAGCUAUAUGCCACCUGAGUUUCAGACUACUCUUAACUUUGGAUCAACUUCCUGAUACUUGGGUGUGCUUAUCCAGGAUAUCUCGAAAUUAUAUUUCUCAGUGAAUAAUCUUCAAGUUUCUGGUAACACAAGAUCUUCUAUCACUUAUUUUAUCAUUUAGUAUCCUCAACGCUGUUACCAAUGUUAGUCAGAGAAAACGUUAGACAUAAACUUCAAAAAUCAUUAUCUCGUGAAAAUAAGUAAUGUUUUAUUUUCUGUUUUGCAAUUUGGAUUGGUUUGCUAUAUACUUCUCUAUGUAUAUUUGUAGAGGAGUGCAACUUACAGUUGUAUUUAUUUUUAACUUCAGCACAGAACCUGAUGCAAAACUUUAUACAUGUUCUGAAUAUUUGUUGUCUGUCUCUUAUUCCAGUCUUCUGCGCCAGCUUUCCUUCUUGAGUUAUGCUCAUGUUAUGAUUGCUCAACUACAGCUUAGUUGCAGGCUGAAGGGGGCAACGCGGAAGGCGGAAACGUGUGUUUAAAGACUGAUGUAGUCACUUCCUCCGAUGACCUGUAUUGAUAUGUAGCUGCUGUGGUAGCACAGUGACAGGAUAUGAGCACAAGUUACUCCAAAGGUGCGACCUCCAAGAGGAGAGUACUUAGUUGUAGUGGCACAAUGUGAUCUGUUUGCUUUUGCACAUAAAUGUCUGAUAUUUUUAUAAUAUAGUGUGUGCCAAAGAUAUACAUGCAUUUUUGGACUCAAGCACAUUAUAAGUUUAUAUAAGCUAAGAUUACAUGUACAUUUAAGUUGGUGAAAAUAUUUUCUUUUUGGUUUUAGAUAGUUACAGUGUCAUAUGAAAAUUCAGAAACUGUGGUACAUAUCUGUUUUGUCACCUACUGUUGUAACGUACUUGCAGUUCUGCAAGAGUUUGAAAGUAAAGGACAAGAAGCAUGUGGCUACCUAUAUGUUAUGAAAGAUAAUUCCUCUA